AUGGGUUUGGGAGUGAUUUGGGUUUUCAUUGUUGCUCUUUUAGAAGGUGUUCAAUGUGAGGUGCAGCUGGUGGAGACAGGGGGUGGCCUGCUGCAGCCUGGGGCGGCCCUGAGGCUCUCAUGUGCAGCCUCUGGAUUCACUUUCAGUAACUACUGGAUGUACUGGGUCCGACAGGCUCCAGGGAAGGGGCUGGAAUGGAUUGGACGAAUUUCACCAAAUGGUGGUACCACAGACUAUGCACCAUCCUUGAAGGAUCGAUUAACUAUCUCCAGAGACAAUGCCAAACAAACUCUGCACCUGCAAAUGAACAGUGUGAGAUCUGAGGACACUGCUACUUACUACUGUACUCCUCCUCCUGAAAGCCAAGCAGGUCUUUCUUGGGAGUCAGCAUCAGCUCCCAGGGAUCCAGGGAAAAUUCAUGGCUUUGUCAUCAUGGCUUCAUCAUGCCUCAGCCACUAG